rnacentral:rRNA from 1 species
UACGGAGGAUGCGAGCGUUAUCCGGAUUUAUUGGGUUUAAAGGGUGCGUAGGCGGACUGUCAAGUCAGCGGUAAAAUUGAGAGGCUCAACCUCUUUCCGCCGUUGAAACUGGUGGUCUUGAGUGGAUGAGAAGUACGCGGAAUGCGUGGUGUAGCGGUGAAAUGCAUAAAUAUCACGCAGAACUCCGAUUGCGAAGGCAGCGUACCGGCAUCCAACUGACGCUGAGGCACGAAAGCGUGGGGAUCAAACAGG